rnacentral:lncRNA from 1 species
GGGGCCUUUUCAGACGCAUACAAUGAUUCCAGGUUUGAAAGUUUGGAGGACUGUGUUUCUAUUUUAACCGUGACAGCUGCCAAAGACACUCGUACGCUCACAGCACCAGGUUCAGGUAGGUUUAUUCUCUCCAGAGGAAAACAACCAAAUCGUACAUCAUCUUUGUAUGCUUUUGAGGUGACAGUCUAAUAUCACAAAGCCUUCUUACUUCUUACACCAUUUUUUUUUACUCGGUUACGUCUAAAUCAACACUCGAGUAAAUUCCACCAGUAUGAAAAUAAAACCGGUCAAGGCUGUCGGUUACGUCUAAAUCAACACUCGAGUAAAUUCCACCAGUAUGAAAAUAAAACCGGUCAAGGCUGUUGAAUGAAAAAUAUGAUGGUAGAGAAUGAGUUUUCAACUUUUCAUUGUAUCCUC